rnacentral:lncRNA from 1 species
UAGGAGUGGUGCAUCGUGAACAUCUCCAAAGAGCUGGCGUCGUGCUGGAAACCAGGAGGCUAGCUAGCUCUUUCCAAAAAGGCAUAUGAUAAACAGCCAGCUAGCUAGCUAGGUUUUGGUCCUAUCUAGUCACCAUCCAUCUACACCGGCGUUUCAAAUCCCCUUUUUCAGUAUAAUAUGGUGAUUUCAUCAAGCAAAAACGGACAGGUACGGCCUAUCAGCUAAAUUCACAGAGGUACGAGGCCCCGUCAAGGAGAGGUACGAGGCCCCGUCAAGGAGAGGUACGAGGCCCCGUCAAGGAGCGGUACGAGGCCCCGUCAAGGAGCGGUACGAGGCCCCGUCAAGGAGAGGUAACGCUAUUGCUGUUUCACUGCUUCCGAGCACUGACCCAGAUUAUCUACUGGGAAGAUGAUGGAGGAGAGACCUGUAUCUACUGGGAAGAUGAUGGAGGAGAGACCUGUAUCUACUGGGAAGAUGAUGGAGGAGAGACCUGUAUCUACUGGGAAGAUGAUGGAGNGACCUGUAUCUACUGGGAAGAUGAUGGAGGAGAGACCUGUAUCUACUGGGAAGAUGAUGGAGGAGAGACCUGUAUCUACUGGGAAGAUGAUGGAGUAGAGACCUGUAUCUCCUGGGAAGAUGGAGGAGGAGAGACCUGUAUCUACUGGGAAGAUGGAGGAGUAGAGACCUGUAUCUACUGGGAAGAUGGAGGAGUAGAGACCUGUAUCUCCUGGGAAGGCGGAGGAGUAGAGACCUGUAUCUCCUGGGAAGGCGGAGGAGUAGAGACCUGUAUCUCCUGGGAAGUUGGAGGCUGUACACUUUGAUACGUAUACCAUGUGCAACAUUGUUGCGGUGGAAGGGGUUGCAAUGCUGUGAGAACUGCUGUAGUUUUGGUGUGCGUUCAAUGUGCACUUUUCCUGCUUCCUCUAUCUAACCGGCAGAUUGAUGCCUCCUUACUAGAUAGAAGCAUUAGGUUAACACCGUUAUGCUGUUAGUUAGGCUGGUAAUCUGACUCGGGAGAAUUAUACUGAACAAAUGAUAUCAACACAACAAUUUCAAUGAUUUUUCUGAGUUACAGUUCAAAUAAUGAAAUCAGUCAAUUGAAAUAAAUAAAUUAAGCCCUAAUCUAUGGAUUUCGCAGGACUGUGAAGGGCCACAGCCAUGGGUGGCCCUGGGAGGAUAUAGACCCACUCACUGGGGAGCCAGGCCCACUCACUGGGGAGCCAGGCCCACUCACUUGGGAGCCAGGCCCACUCACUGGGGAGCCAGGCCCACUCACUGGGGAGCCAGGCCCACUCACUGGUGCGAGCCCGGCCCACACUGGGAGGCCAGGCCCAGCAUAUCAGACUAUGUGUGUGUGUAUGUGUGUGUUUACAGACAGAAAUACUCCUCAGUUUCAGGGCUCCCGAGUGACGCCGUCUCAGUUUAAGAGGGUCAAUACAACAGACACUGGUCGAUUCCCGCGCUGUAUCACCAACCGGCCGUUGAUA